rnacentral:sRNA from 1 species
GGCUGGUCGGAAGGUGGUGAGUCAUUUCCUGAUGGCUCACAGUUCGUUAUAGAUGGACUCCCCAUUACGGACUCUUUCUUAUAGACCUGUUUCUCACAGACCCCGUUACAGACUCUUUCCUCCUCUCACCACUGCACUUGUCUAAAAA